GUGGGGCGUGGCCAGCACUCCCUGGAAGGCUUUCGUGCUGUAAAGCCUCUCUUUGCUUCUUCCCUCUGCCCCAUGCACCGGCCCUGAAUCUUCAGCACAAAGAGGCAGGAACCCAGGAGACAAGAGGCCAUGAGAAGGUAAACUCUAAAAUCUGCUUCCCAUGGGCCGAAUGGGAAUCCAACAAUAAGAAAGAGAGUGUGAGUUUAACCUUGAGAAACUUAAAAGAAUUUUAUAAUUGAGAACUGGAUCUUGACAUUUCUGAGGAAAAUGACUGUGAUGAACACCUACCAAUCGGGCAAAUCAGAGAAUGGAUCUGAAUGAAUGGAAACAUUGAAUGGAGGUGUGGAAUUCAGAAACCUCAGCUAAAAUUGGAGUCCCAACAGACCUGUAGGGGUAGCUCUCAAGCCCCCGCCAUGCAUCUUCAAUCACUCUGAAUAGGAAGAGAUGUACACCUACAUCUCCAGCAGGAAGAUGUUGCUUACUUCCCUACCCAGCCGGAAGAAGAAAAGUUCUCUCGCGGGACAACAGCCCAGGCAAUCAGAGACUAGCAGUCCAACCAAUGAGAAGCCUCCAUACUUUGGAUUCUCAGCUUCCUCCAAUGGACUCUUUGGUUACUUCAGCCCCUCCCACUCCCCCUUUUUUCCCUGUAAAAGCAAGUUCCCCUUCCUUGUCUCUGCACAUGCCUGUGCUCCGCCGUAUUUCGCGUGUCCCAGAUUGUAGUUCUUCUGUCUAUUCUUGAAUAAACUCGCGUUUGCUGGUUAAA